ACGCUCGACACCUACUGGAGGCAGCAGUGGGGAAUAUUGGGCAAUGGGCGCAAGCCUGACCCAGCAACGCCGCGUGAAGGAAGAAGGCUUUCGGGUUGUAAACUUCUUUUAUCAGGGACGAAAUAAAUGACGGUACCUGAUGAAUAAGCCACGGCUAACUACGUGCCAACAGCCGCGGUAAUCUGAGCGGGCUGGCAAGGC
rnacentral:rRNA from 1 species